rnacentral:lncRNA from 1 species
GGCCGUAUCGGGGAUGCUGGAACCUGCGGUUGAGUGAGAAACCGGCGCCACCGCCUGCGUCUUGGUCUCGGGCUGGUGGCCAGCGGGGUCUGGGCGUGGUUUUACCCAGCUCCUUUGCGAAGCUGCUGUCCUUUCCUCAACGUUACCACCCGGCUGGGCAGCCUACCCUCGCAGCAACAGGUGUGCACCUUCCAAGCUUGCAACAGACCACAUUCAGAAGCUUGAUUUCUUGUUGUUCUGGGAAUAUCUGGAUCAGAGGUAACAUGGUUCACUAGGACUCCUCAGCUUCACCCAGUGUCCAUUUCACCUCCCCCGGCCUUCCAAUGUCUCUUCUUGCAGAUUUCUCCAAGCCACUCUCCCCGUCAUCUCCUCCACCCCCAGGACCCAACUCCUGCCCCUCCCACCCUAGCCCCUGUUCUCCCUGCCCACCUCCUACCCCACUGGAGUGGCCUUUCAUCAAACCUAAACCAAAGAAACCAACAGACCUUGCUGUCACCACUACUCCGGGACCUGGAAGUUAAAGCGAGGGAGAGACGGUGAAACACAGAAAGCAGAACGCCUUCUGUUCUUCCACAACACAGGGUUUGUGGACGUGGCCACUAUAAGAACUCGCACUGCGUGCUGAUUAUACUCCUCAGCACAAUUCAUUUCUUAAACUUUUUAGAAUAAUUUAAAAUUUACAAAAAGUUGCAAAAAUAAAAACCAGUAAACUUUUC